rnacentral:lncRNA from 1 species
CUGUGAUGAUAUGCUGAUAGCAUUCAUCAUCAGCCAGUGUCACUUCUUGUUUGUAGAGCUUUAGGGCAGCUCUGCUGAGCAGGUGAGUUGUGAUCACUAGCAGAGGAACAAAGCAGCAGAGUGGGCAUGACAAGGAUGAUACAAAAAAAUGAACAAGUUAUACUCUGCUGACUAGGGAAACAUACUGCCCUGACUAAGACAAGGAAACUGAUUAUUUGGCCCAGCCCAUCAAUAUGAAAAUUCAGUGGGCAGGAAGGAAUUUUGUGAAUAAACAAUGAGAAGUAUUUCAUUUGGCAUCAGCAAGCAGAACAUUGGAGAAGCAGCCAUUUUGCUGAAAUAUGACAGGCUGGGAUGGGUGAGCAGGACUCAUGCUAACCUCUGCAGCUGGGCAAACUUAAUCUUUACUGGAUCAGGAAAAGUCAUCCAGAGUCGGUGCUGAGUGAAAACAUAAUGUGACGCACUGAAAACAGAGCAUGUCCUGCAGUGUGCUCCCAGUGUCCUCUGAAGAACAUGUAUUCCAUGAAAGCACAGCCCAAAAAAUGAGGAUGCAGGAAGAAUCAGGUAUGUAGCAGAAAGGGAGAAAGGAAAACCAGACAUGUCCUGUGCACUGCCC